rnacentral:misc_RNA from 1 species
UUCAGCGGCGAAAAUCGGUACUGAACCAAUUACAACUCCUCGCCGGCGUUUCACAUCAUUUCUUCAUCGGAAAACUUCAACAGUAGUCGGAGGGACUCUCCAAUUUGAUCUCUAACAUGGUAGCUAGAUUCAUCACAAGCAAUCUCAAUCGAAUACGAAAAACCUACUCAGUAUCAACAACUUUUAGUAGGCACAACUACGAUUUCACUUCUCUAUAUUCUUCUCCGUAUUUGCAAUUGGAUGAUGACGAUUCAGCUAGACAUGUAGUGAAUCCGAGUUUCAUGCUGCAGAAGAGAUGGCAUACGGG